AUUGAACGCUGGCGGCAGGCCUAACACAUGCAAGUCGAGCGGAGCGGCGGACGGGUGAGUAAUGCCUAGGAAUCUGCCUGGUAGUGGGGGAUAACGUCCGGAAACGGGCGCUAAUACCGAAUAAUAUCACAUUAUCCUCGGUCGGAUGAGCUAGUUGGUGGGGUAAAGGCCUACAACGGCGACGAUCCGUAACUGGUCUGAGAGGAUGAUCAGUCACACUGGAACUGAGACACGGUCCAGACUACGACGGGAGGCAGCAGUGGGGAAUAUUGGACAAUGGGCGAAAGCCUGAUCCAGCCAUGCCGCGUGUGUGAAGAAGGUCGUCGGAUUGUAAAGCACUUUAAGUUGGGAGGCGUUACCAACAGAAUAAGCACCGGCUAACUUCGUGCCAGCAGCCGCGGUAAUUC
rnacentral:rRNA from 1 species